UACGUAGGUGGCAAGCGUUGUCCGGAUUUACUGGGUGUAAAGGGCGUGUAGCCGGGCUGACAAGUCAGAUGUGAAAUCCGGGGGCUCAACCCCCGAACUGCAUUUGAAACUGUUGGUCUUGAGUAUCGGAGAGGCAGGCGGAAUUCCUAGUGUAGCGGUGAAAUGCGUAGAUAUUAGGAGGAACACCAGUGGCGAAGGCGGCCUGCUGGACGACAACUGACGGUGAGGCGCGAAAGCGUGGGUAGCGAACAGG
rnacentral:rRNA from 1 species